CAUUUCAUUUUGUUUAAUUUGCAUAUUCAUGCAAUGCAAAUAUCAGAGCAGUAGGAAAUGAAUGGGGGAGGUGCCGCCAGCAGUAAACACUUCGUUGAAAAGUUGAUCACCGAGCUGUUGGUGUGAAGGGCAUGAAGAUGACAGAUGAAGAGACAUAAGGUCUGAUGAAAUUCAGAGGCAGUUCCUCGCAAAGAUCCAAGGACAGACAGAAAUGUGACAGCAGACACGUGGCAGCAGGCUAAGUGGGUGUAAGGAAGAGACAAGUCUUUGUUUAAAGUUCAUUCGAGAUUGGUGUCAGUAGAACAGCAGCGAGAGGGAAGGCAAGAAAACGUUGGCAGGAAAAACGCUGAUCUUCACACCACCCGUGGGGGAGCCUGCUGCAAAUCCAAACACGUCCUUCAAAACUCACAUGCACAACUCUUUGUUUCUGCAGACAGCUCUGCAUGUUGGAGAAGACAGUGAUUGAGGUGCCGUGCUACAAGCAAAGAUCUGGCCCUCACCAGAUGCCAACCUGCUAGCACCUUCAUCUUGGACUUCCAGCCUUCAGAACUAUGAAUAAUCAAUGUCGAUUAUCCAUAAAUUGCCCAUUCUGUGGGAUUUCCUUAUAACACCAGAAAUGAAUUAAUACAGGCCCAGAAACUCCUAUAAUAAGACCAAGACCCAAAGACAUUAAGGGAUCUGCCAAAGCCACACAGCUACUGAAAAAUGGACCUGGGAUUUGAACCCCUGUCCCGACCAAAGCCCACGAUUUCCACCCUGACUCCCAAGUUAGCAGCACAGGACUUGCGAAUAACACCAUGCCUCUCUGAGUCUCGUCUUGCACUUGACCUUUCACUGCCGUGUGCCUAGUCAAAUCUACACACCUCAGAACACAGAGGGACCCAAAGUAAGAAGGAGGAAGGCCAGACGUGGGACGUGGACCUCAGCAAGAACUGGACUCCAGAAGGACUGCCGGAGGA